rnacentral:rRNA from 1 species
GAUGAACGCUGGCUGCGUGCCUAAUACAUGCAAGUCGAGCGAAGCGGGGACGGGUGAGUAACACGUGGAUAACCUCCUAUAAGACUGGGAUAACUUCCGGAAACCGGAGCUAUACCGGAUACUUAUAGAUGGUUCCGCGCUGCAUUAGCUCGUUGGUAAGGUAACGGCUUACCAAUGCAACGAGGCAUAGCCGAACUGAGAGAGAGAUCGGCCACACUGGAACUGAGACACGGUCCAGACUCCUACGGGAGGCAGCAGUAGGGAAUCUUCCGCAAUUGGCGAAAGCCUGACGGAGAAACGCCGAGGGAGUGAUGAAGGUCUUCGGAUCGUAAAGCUCUGUUAUGAGGGAAGCGGUACCUAAUCAGAAAGCCACGGCUAACUACGUGCCAGCAGCCGCGGUAAUAC